rnacentral:pre_miRNA from 1 species
UAUACCUCAGCUUUAUCAGGUGUUCUUUAUAAUCACCUGGAAAUACUGAGGUUGAGU